GAUGAACGCUGGCGGCGUGCCUAAUACAUGCAAGUCGAGCGAACGGACGAGAAGCUUGCUUCUCUGAUGUUAGCGGCGGACGGGUGAGUAACACGUGGAUAACCUACCUAUAAGACUGGGAUAACUUCGGGAAACCGGAGCUAAUACCGGAUAAUAUUUUGAACCGCAUGGUUCAAAAGUGAAAGACGGUCUUGCUGUCACUUAUAGAUGGAUCCGCGCUGCAUUAGCUAGUUGGUAAGGUAACGGCUUACCAAGGCAACGAUGCAUAGCCGACCUGAGAGGGUGAUCGGCCACACUGGAACUGAGACACGGUCCAUACUCCUACGGGAGGCAGCAGUAGGGAAUCUGCCGCAAUGGGCGAAAGCCUGACGGAGCAACGCCGCGUGAGUGAUGAAGGUCUUCGGAUCGUAAAACUCUGUUAUUAGGGAAGAACAUAUGUGUAAGUAACUGUGCACAUCUUGACGGUACCUAAUCAGAAAGCCACGGCUAACUACGUG
rnacentral:rRNA from 1 species